rnacentral:rRNA from 1 species
AUUGAACGCUGGCGGCAGGCCUAACACAUGCAAGUCGAGCGGAUGACGGGAGCUUGCUCCUUGAUUCAGCGGCGGACGGGUGAGUAAUGCCUAGGAAUCUGCCUGGUAGUGGGGGACAACGUUUCGAAAGGAACGCUAAUACCGCAUACGUCCUACGGGAGAAAGCAGGGGACCUUCGGGCCUUGCGCUAUCAGAUGAGCGUAGGUCGGACUAGCUAGUUGGUGGGGUAAUGGGUCACCAAGGCGAAGAUCCGUAACUGGUCUGAGAGGAUGAUCAGUCACACUGGAACUGAGACACGGUCCAGACUCCUACGGGAGGCAGCAGUGGGGAAUAUUGGACAAUGGGCGAAAGCCUGAUCCAGCCAUGCCGCGUGUGUGAAGAAGGUCUUCGGAUUGUAAAGCACUUUAAGUUGGGAGGAAGGGCAGUAAGUUAAUACCUUGCUGUUUUGACGUUACCGACAGAAUAAGCACCGGCUAACUCUGUGCCAGCAGCCGCAGUAAUAC